AUGUGAACAGGCAACCACUUAUGUGUUUUGAUUUUGCUAGCUGGUUGCGGUUCUUGUGUAAUUUCAAACCCAAUACUAAAAUACAGUAUCAUUCAUUGUGGUGAAUAGUUGGACCAGACAUAAAGACCAGAGAUGUCUGACGAGGAUGAAUCUCCGCUGGUGAAGAAGACCAGGAUUUUCUAUGGCAGUCUGGAGGAGAAGGAGAGGGAGAGGCUGGGACGAGAGUCCUCUGGGUCCCUUGAUCUUGAGGAACACGUGAGUGAGUGCCAGUCUGAGGUAUUGGCUGACUUUGAGUGCAGAAAGCGAGCAAGAUAGUCACAGUAUCCAAUGACGAUGCAGAUGUAACCGAUGUGAAAUAUCCUUCUGCCAAUUUAGCCCGAACUCCAAAAUGCUUGUGACUGCCUCUUGGAGUGGCCUGUGUAAACUGUGGAAUGUUCGACUGCACCCUUAUCCGUACUCUUCGGGCUUAGAAGAAUAUCUUAUUUUUCACAAUCAUUUGAUUGAUUUGAUUGCAAGAAUGUUAGCUACAUGAAGUAGCUAAGAGAACAUUCAAUUGUUAUUUUGUUUUUAACCUUUAUUUAACUAGGCAAG